CAGAGAGGUACCUCUGUAAUCAUUAUUCUUUCUCCUUCCCAUUUCCCACCUAUGGUGGAUUAACUAAUGGUCAACUUGUAACACCCAGCUGAAUUGAAUCAGCAUGGUCUGGGCAUGGAAGAUUCACCUGAGCUUUGUUGUCAAUAGCUAUAAAAAUAGAACUGGAGAAGGAAGAUCGUGGGGCUGUUGAUUUUAUAGGAGAAGCUUGCUGUAGCUGGUCUGAUGCGAAUUUGGCGAUGCUCAUCAGAGGAGGAGGUUGGGGCCUUGCUAUCAUUGGGAAUGGCUGCUGUUCUCAACAGGGGAGCUCUGAUCUUCACUGUGAACUACACUAUGGAUCCCUCAGCCUGAUGACACAAAUCCUUCAUCCCACCAGGCUAAUCCAGUUUGAGCUGGUGAGCCAGGUUCUCCGGGCUCGAGCCUCUGACAGCUUUGAUUAGCAAUGGAUGCGUGAACUGUGCUCCCCAAAGGUGUGAAGCAAGGAAAGGCGUGGCUGAGCGCUGGAGCAAGCCCACCAGCACAGCACCUUUCCUCUUCCCUGCCCACCUGGCACAAGGCUGACUUUGUAAAUUACAAUACUGGAUUGCCUCUUUCUUGUCUUCCUCCUUAGUGUCAUGUGUUUUUAUCCCUAGAUUAUUCCACACACACACCCCAGUCCCACCCCUCUUAGCCUUUACCCCAGUCAGAAGAUUCCAACUCCUCCAUAUACAGUAAAA
rnacentral:lncRNA from 1 species